CCUUUGUUUUUAAAAUUAUUUAUUUAAUUGUAAGUUUACAUAACUUCAGUUUUAAUAAUGGCUCUGUUUAACAACUAUUUAGUAAAAUCCCUAAAAAACUAAACAGUUGGCUCUCAUAAGCCUGUACAAGUCACUUUUAGCACCCCACUGGCUGGGAAGAAAUGUGGGCAUCAUGUGGUAGCUAAGAGGUCAAGUUCAUAGCACCCUUGGCGUAUCCAAUACUAUCUAGGCAGAAUUUAACAGGGGCAGAAAUGACCACAGAGUGGGUGGGUGGGAGCAAAGCCUGGAAAAUGCUAUUUUGUUGUGGCUGUUUUGACCCUGUUUCUAUUUCUAUUUCUGGAUCAUGGGCAGCAACUGAAACCCAAUCCGACGUGUGGGCACUGAGGUCUCCCUCUGCAAAUGCAGCUGUGUGAAAUGCUUCCAUCAUGAGGCGGAGGUUGCAGUGAGCUGAGAUCGUGCCCCUGCACUCCAGCCUGGGCAACAGAGUGAGACUCGGUCUAAAAAAAAAAAAAAAAAAAAAAAAAGCUACAACUUGCCCCCACCUUUCCCUAGAAUGUGUGGUUGUGUCCUGAAGGCUUACUCCCUUGGUCAGCUCCUCCUCUCCUUUGCCUGGGAUGAGCCAAAUCACAGGGCAUGUCCCAGGAUGCCCCCUCAAACGCCCACAGUGAGUAGUGCCUUCUGCCUGAGCCUCAGGAACAGAGGCAGCCCCAAGAUGUCCAGCUUGGACCGGCAGCUCCGAGGCCUGGAGAAGGCUCUGCCCAAACAGUCAUUUGCCAGAGCACAGAUGAAAACAGAACAGCCCAAGUCCAGGAAGAGAAAGGGUUAUGGAAAUGGAUCUGUGUAACGACACAGCGUGAGUGCAAUUAAUUGUUGUCAAAGCAUUUUGCUGGCUGCAUUCAUCUCUUAUGUAGGAGAACAAAACUGUCAUAACGAUGACAACUUUAUUCAACAUUGGUGCAAUUACCAAACCUAAAAAUAGGAUGCAAAGGGAGGAUUUUCUUGAGAGGGCUGAGCUCUGCUACCCAUGUUGCAUGCCUGGAACAGUCCACCCUGAAGAUGGAGAGGGGAAAGGAGGGAGCUAAGAUUCAUUGACUGUCGUCAUGUGUUACCAGAAGAAGCAUUUUACCCGUUUUUAUCUACAUAAUCCUCCCUUCCCCUCUUUGAAGGGAAGUGCCGUCGGGUGCAGCACUGAGGACCGAGAUUUGUUGAGCACCAAUUUUGAGACAGGCUCAACAAGCAUUCUGUACAUAAUUUACUUAAAUUAUCACAAGAAUACUGAAAGGGAGGUAUUAUUAGCCUCAUUUUACAGAUAAGAAAGUUGAGUCUCUAAAGGUUAAGAAGUUUGCACAAGAUCCUGUAGCCAAAAUCCUUCCGAUUAUAAAGUCAUUCACAUAGAAUUGCUUGCUGUGAAACAUGUGAGCUCAGCAGAGCCACACUGCUGUCCCAUCGUCAUCCCCUUUUCUCUUCUAUCUCACAUCCCACUGUCCUCGUGGACUCUAUCACCCUUUCAGGAAUGAGAAAAUGGUCAAAGCCUUGGAGUCAAAAGGACUUGGGUGGAAGUCUAGGCUCCAUGACUUAUUAGCAAUUGAGCCAUGCUCGUACAGCCUGCAGAACUGUGAGCCAAGUAAAUCUCUUUUCUUCAUAAAUUACCCAGGCUCGGGUAUUCCUUUAUAGCAACACAACAAUGGAUUGGCCCAGAUGGCAGGGAAGACUCGCCCUCUACAGUGAGUGUGCUGACCACACGCAGGGUACUGUUCUGUUACUUGCAGGUAUGAACUCAUCUAAUCUUUAUAGAAAGCCAGUGUGGUAGGUGCCAUUAUUCUUCCACCUUAGCAAAGCGAAAAGUGAGCUUUAAGUGACUCUUCCAGGUUCCCCUCUGACCCUUUGGGCACAGCCACACCAGGCCUAUAGCUCUACCUCUCUAAAGAAUGGGAACCAGUUCACCAACACCAUCUUCAGGAGCUGACUCUGCCCCACUGGGAAGCUCUCUCCUUGACGCAUGCUUGGAAAGGUGAGCUUUUUGUCUCUCAAGGAAAAUAUUCACUUUGUAUUUUGGAAAACAGAGGAGUUUCUCCUGCUUUUCCUCUCUUCUUCCCUUUGGUCACUUCUGUGGGAUACACAAUAAGAGACUGGGCAAUAAGAACAAAAUUAUGUGAGAAGAGGCGGACUUGGGUUUAAAUCCCAGCUACAGCUAGACAUACCCGUUGCUAGCUGUGGCUCUCUGCAAGUGACUCCUCUUCUCAGUUUCCUCAUCUAUAAAAGAGAGAUCAUAUCCACCUUGUGGUACUGUCAUGAGGAUCAGGGAAAAGCAUAUGAAGCAUCUAGAUCACUGCCAGGUGCCUUGGUUUAUAACUGUCAUUAUUUGGCCACUUCUUCGUAGCAUCAAGGCCUUGUUCUGCGCUACUUCACCUAGGGAAGACUCACCUUCCCUGAGGCUCCCUAGUUCUCUCAUGGGUGACGUGGGGACGAGAACAGCUAACCUGCUGUGCAUGAUCACUGUGAGGGGUGGGUGAGGUCACCCCGUGAGCAUUUAACACAGUGCCUGGCGCACAGCACGUGCCCCAUCAACUGUGCCCUUUACUCUUAUCUUUAUCAUCAUGAUUAGCUUCUCCCAGGAACUGAAAAUUCACUGAAACUCCCAACAGAUCACGAGAAUUACUUCCCAAUCACAACUUGUCGGAGGGAAAUAUCUGGAUGUUUCUCUUUCAUAAACAUAAGAGCUGUCAGGCCAGUGGCAGUGGCUUAGCCUAUAAUCCCAGCACUUCGGGAGGUGAAGGUGAGCAGAUUGCUUGAGUCCAAGAGUUUGAGACCAGCCUGGGCAACAUGGCAAAACCCCAUCUCUACAAAAAAUACAAAAAUUAGCCAGACAUGGUGGUGUGCACCUGUAGUCUACUCGGGAGACUGAGGUGGGAGCAACACCUGAGCCCAGGAGGGUCAAAGCUGCAGAGAGCCAUGACUGCACUACUGCACUCCAGCCUGGGCGACAGAGUGAGACCCUAUCUCAAAAAAAAAAAAAAAAAAAAAGACAUUUCUACUUCCAUUUUAAUGGUCUUUGUGUACUUGUGUCUCCUAUUAUGAGCCACUACAAAUCUUUCUGAAAGAAGACAGAGUAUAGAAACAAAACAGCUCCAUGGUGAGAAGUAACACAGACCAUUCACCUUCUACAUCCAGUUGCAUUUGCAGGACGGCUGUGCGAUUAGAUUAGCGUCUGCAGCCUGCCAUCCAAGGCUUGCCUCUCUGGAUGAGGGUCACUAGUCUUCUCAGGAAUGAAGCCAAAGCCAGGCCCAAGCAGCCGAAAGGUAACUCUAUCCCUAACAACAGUUACCUGGUCGGUAAAAAGGGCAUUGGCCAAGAGGAAGCCUUCUCCCAAAAUCAUCACCUCAAAUUCUCCAGUUUUAUACCAUAAACCUCAGAGUAAAAGUCUGCAUUUUGUUUUCCACAGAAUUUUUAGCAGCAUGAUGCCUUUUUGAAAAUUUGCCUUUUCUUCCUAUCAGUUUUCCAACCAUAUGUAGACAAAUUCAGCUGUAAUGGUUGAAAUGAGAG
rnacentral:lncRNA from 10 species